rnacentral:tRNA from 1 species
GCCUGGGUGGCUCAGUCGGUUGAGCAUCCGACUUCAGCUCAGGUCACAAUCUCAUGGUUUGUGGGUUCGAGCCCCACGCCAGGCU